rnacentral:rRNA from 1 species
GGUGAACGCUGGCGAUGUGCCUAAGACAUGCAAGUCGAGCGCCCGUAGCAAUACGGGAGCGGCAGACGGGAGAGUAACACGUGGGAACGUACCCUUCGGUUCGGAAUAACCCAGGGAAACUUGGGCUAAUACCGGAUACGUCCGCAAGGAGAAAGAUUUAUCGCCGAAGGAUCGGCCCGCGUCCGAUUAGCUAGUUGGUGGGGUAAUGGCCCACCAAGGCGACGAUCGGUAGCUGGUCUGAGAGGAUGAUCAGCCUCACUGGGACUGGGACACGGCCCAGACUCCUACGGGAGGCAGCAGUGGGGAAUAUUGGACAAUGGGCGCAAGCCUGAUCCAGCCAUGCCGCGUGGGUGAUGACGGCCUUAGGGUUGUAAAGCCCUUUCGGCGGGGAAGAUAAUGACGGUACCCGCAGAAGAAGCCCCGGCUAACUUCGUGCCAGCAGCCGCCGUAA